UUAGAUGAUAUAUUUAUCAUUUUCAUGACAUGCUCCCUAACACCACUUAUACCAUCAUAUCUCGUGCUCAUCAAUUUAUCCAUCAGAUCCCCAAUUUCGACUUUAUCAAACUCAACAAAUUUUUCUCCUAUGGCAUCCAUAAAACUUUUGGCAUUUUCAUUAUCAGGGAUGACACCUAAAAUAGAAUCAGAUAUCGAUCGCUUAAUGAUUUUCAAACAGAGUUUGUUAACCCUUUUCCACUUUUCAUACUUGGCUACAUAUUCAAAGGUACUCUUCUCUGUGGGUUUCUCAAGUUUUUUCUCCAUUGCAAAAUCCAAACCCGAAAGAUCAAGUGUUAUUUCUACGUCUCGUUUCCAUCUCACAUAGUUAUUCUCUGUCAAGAUUUUAAUAGCAGACAAUUGAUUCGAAAAAGAUGAGGCAUUAUAAACUGUGAAA
rnacentral:lncRNA from 1 species